ACAGCCCCUAUUAUAUAUUUUUUGAAGUACAAUUUAAAGAGAUAAGGGGUCAAAUGUUUUUUAGUUCUAGAAUUUCAUACAAGAUAAAUAUUUAUAUUUUGGACUUGUUUUUUUCCAUUUCACAUAUUGCUGGAUCUAGUUUGUUACUUUUUUUUUUUUUUUUUUUCUUUUUUUGGAGAUGGAGUCUCGCUCUGUCACCCAGGCUGGAGUGCAGUGGUGUGAUCUCGGCUCACCGCAACCUUCGCCUCCCAGGUUCAAGCAAUUCUUCCUGCCUCAGCCUCCUGAGUAGCUGGGACCACAGGCGCAUGCCGCCAUGCCUGGCUAAUUGUUGUGUAUUUUAGUAGAGACGGGGUUUCACAAUGUUGCUCAGGCUGGUGUCGAACUCCUGAGCUCAGGCAAUCCGCCCGCCUCUGCCUCCCAAAGUGCUGGGAUUACAGGCGUGAGCCACUGCGCCCGGCCUUUUUUGUUAUUGUUAUGUGUAGUUUUGCGGGGGGAUUUCUAAUCUGAAUUAGUGACUAAAAUUGGCUGCUAGUUUUUGAAACUGUCAUUUUCUGGCCUUUGCAUAGGUUGUUUGACUUUUGCGAUGAUCAGUUUCACAUAUCCACUUGGCCAGUCGCUGGUACCCGGUUAUUCCAUCAAACACUAAAUCAGAUUAUCCUGGGUGAGACUGAUUCAAUCAGCUGAAAGACCUCAGGAGCGGAACUGAGGCUUCCCUGAGAAAACAUAAAUUCUGCCUAUGGACAGCAAUUUCAGUUCACCCCUAAAAUCCCACCCUCCUCUUUCUGAUGGCCUGUGCUGUGGACUUCCGAUGUGCCUUGCCAGCGCCCACAAUCAUGUAAGUCAGUUCCCUGCAAUCAACCUCUAAGUGUACAUCUCCUACUCAUUUUGUUUCUCUGGUUAAACCCUGAUGGAUACAUCCUUUAUAAAAUGAGUUUCAGGGUAACCAUUUUUUUUAUUCUUUGAACUAAUUUGUGUAAGAUUGCAAUUAAAAGUUGGUAGAACUUGCCUUUAAAGC
rnacentral:lncRNA from 10 species